UCCCCGGUGGCGCAGCGGUAGCGCAGCGGACUGUUAAUCCGUUGGUCGUAAGUUCGAAUCUUACCCGGGGAGCCA
rnacentral:tRNA from 1 species